rnacentral:rRNA from 1 species
GAUGAACGCUGGCGGCGUGCCUAAUACAUGCAAGUCGAGCGAAUGGAUUAAGAGCUUGCUCUUAUGAAGUUAGCGGCGGACGGGUGAGUAACACGUGGGUAACCUGCCCAUAAGACUGGGAUAACUCCGGGAAACCGGGGCUAAUACCGGAUAACAUUUUGAACCGCAUGGUUCGAAAUUGAAAGGCGGCUUCGGCUGUCACUUAUGGAUGGACCCGCGUCGCAUUAGCUAGUUGGUGAGGUAACGGCUCACCAAGGCAACGAUGCGUAGCCGACCUGAGAGGGUGAUCCGCCACCCUGGGACGGAGACACGGCCCAGACUCCUACGGGAGGCAGCAGUAGGGAAUCUUCCGCAAUGGACGAAAGUCUGACGGAGCAACGCCGCGUGAGUGAUGAAGGCUUUCGGGUCGUAAAACUCUGUUGUUAGGGAAGAACAAGUGCUAGUUGAAUAAGCUGGCACCUUGACGGUACCUAACCAGAAAGCCACGGCUAACUACGUGCCAGCCGCCGCAGUAA